rnacentral:rRNA from 1 species
UACAGAGGUCCCAAGCGUUGUUCGGAUUCACUGGGCGUAAAGGGUGCGUAGGCGGUCGGGUAAGUCUGAUGUGAAAUCUCCGAGCUCAACUCGGAAAUGGCAUUGGAUACUAUUCGGCUAGAGAAUCGGAGGGGGGACUGGAAUACUUGGUGUAGCAGUGAAAUGCGUAGAUAUCAAGUGGAACACCAGUGGCGAAGGCGAGUCCCUGGACGAUUUCUGACGCUGAGGCACGAAAGCUAGGGGAGCAAACAGGAUUAGAAACCCUCGUAGUCC